rnacentral:sRNA from 1 species
GGCCUGGGGGAGGAGACGGCGUUCCGUUAGCGGCGUUGGGGUUUGGCUGCAGUGGAAGUGCUUUCUCCUCUGCUCACGGGGACCCGCUCAGGCUGGAGGCCAGCCAGCUCUUGCCGCCACCUCGGUCGCGAUGGGGGCGCAGGACCGGCCGCAGUGCCACUUCGACAUCGAGAUCAACCGGGAGCCGGUUGGUCGCAUUAUGUUUCAGCUCUUCUCAGACAUAUGUCCAAAAACAUGCAAAAACUUCCUUUGCUUGUGCUCAGGAGAGAAAGGCCUUGGGAAAACAACUGGGAAGAAGUUAUGUUAUAAAGGUUCUACGUUCCAUCGUGUGGUUAAAAACUUUAUGAUUCAGGGUGGGGACUUCAGUGAAGGUAAUGGAAAAGGUGGAGAAUCAAUUUAUGGUGGAUAUUUUAAAGGUAAGGCAUAAUAUUUUACGGUCUUUUGUUUCAGUUCUGAUAUUAAAGCAAGUUUGAUCAUAUACUUUUAAUGAGAAGAGGUUUACUUAUAGUUCACUUUUUGCAUGAAACUAAUGCUGCAUGAAAAUACUUUAUUUGCAUGAAUUUGGGGAUAAAUUAUAUUGUAAUAUAUAAUUUUUAAUUGACAAGAUUAAUUAAGGCUAACUUUAUGGUUAAACAUGACUUUCAGCAUGGAGGUUAGGCAACUAUAUACAUGAAAACUCCUAUCUUCCUGCCUAAAACUGUCAACAUAUUCUUUUGUUUAUAGAGAAUGUGGUCUUUUGCAAAAUGAAAAGGUAAGAGAACGAAGCUCAGUAACACAAACUCCAAUUCUGUUCCCUUGCACCCUUCCUAAUAAAUUUAUGGACAGUCUGGGUCAGGUUGUGGCUGGAUUUCUAUAUUGCUUGAAGACUUGGAAAAUUCUGUGUAUUAUUUCAUACAUGCUUCUGUAUCUUUUUUCAUUUCCCAAUGGGUUAUUAAUUUCACAUCAGAGAAAAGAGUCUAGUUGUGGGGUUUUUUUCCCCCUAAACCAAGCAAUUUCUUUGAAUAAAAGUUGAAAUUUCCUUUUUCAAAGGUUUGUAUGUUUUCUUUUGUAUAUUAGAACUAUGACUGUGUUUAUUCUCAUAAUAGUAGCAUCUGCAUAAAUCUAACUAUUGCACUUGCCCCAAAAAGCCUUAGAAAAGUCAGUUGCAGAGAUUUGUAAUGAAAUCUAAUAUUACUAGGUUUUAACGCUAUAAUAGCUUCAGUGUUAUAAUAGUCUUUUAUAUUUCCUUUGGGGGAAAAUGGAUUACUACUCUUUUUCAGAAGCCUGUUCCCAAGGUAAUCACUUUUUAAAGUUUUCUGUGUUUCUGUUUGUUCUGAAGAAGAUUUGUUUGUAUGAAUGUUAAAAGGACAUUUAAGUUAGUUUUCAAGGAUAUUCCUGCUGGAAUUAAAAUAACUCUAAGUGAUCUUUAUCACAGAUUUUUUUUUCCUUUGAACUAGUAGGAAACAGCUAUUUAGCCGGUUCUAUUAUGUAGCAAUUUAAAACUAAUACUGUAGGCCACUUUGUGGUUGUUCCCUGUGGCAGAUACUUUUGUACCUUAAAAUUGUAUUUUGCUAUUUAAAUUUUUGUUUCACAGGGCUUUCUUCCUUAGAUAAUUUUGUGAUACAAUUGAGUAUACACAUACUUAAUUUAGAUAUGUUCCUGUAACUUAAUAUAACAUAAUUUUUUUGUCUUACAGUCUAGCUUCAAUUAAGUUGAAUAAUAAAUUUACCGUAUAAAAAUUAAACACCUAAAAAGAUUAUUAAACUUCUUCCAUGUAUAGCACAUUAGGCAAGCUAAUUGAAAAUUUGGAGGAAGUAGGCUAGAGAUUUUUCUAAAAUUUUACUAGUUUUCCCUGAAAGUUAAUAAUUUAAAUAUCAUUUAGCCAAAGUAUGUUACUACUAAAAGUGACUGUUCUAAGGCUGUUUGUGUGAAGUAUUAAAUAUAUGUUCUUUUCCUCAAGGCUUUAAUUAGUAUCUUUUGGCCUUUUUAUGCUUUUGUUAUUUGAUUAGCUUAAAUUUUUCUUUUCUGAGUGUUCAGUCAAGUUAUCUGUACUGACCAGAAGAGGAAUUUCAUCUUUUGCUUUCUAUUUAUUACUUGAACAUUACUUUAAAGUGACUUAUAAUUGGAGACUGACAAAUUUGUGUUUUCUUCAAACAGAUGAAAACUUUAUUCUCAAACAUGACAGAGCGUUCCUUUUAUCAAUGGCAAAUCGAGGGAAACAUACCAAUGGUUCCCAGUUUUUCAUAAAGAGUGUUACACCGUGCGCUCCACAGGUAAUGUCUCAUUACUCUAAGGCUCUCUCUCUUUCUUUGCCUUUAUCUCUUUAAUUCUGUUGUUAUGUGCAUUGAAACAUUUUAA